ACCUUCAGGGAGAGCAAUAAAACAAGGGGGAUUUGGAACUUUCUUAACCUUCUACAUAUUACAUAUGUAAUUUAGCUGUGAGUUCGUUUGCCGAGAUGGAGAUUGCUACAUGUUUAACAAAUGCUUUUUGAAAAAGUGCCUGUUUGCCCAACAUUUAAAAAUCUGGCAAACUUACGAACAGUUAAAGAUUAAGAUCUUCGAACGCUCAGAGUGAGAAAAUCCAUGCUCGUUCUGGCAGUGGGGAG